UGCUGACCUCUCAGUGUCAUCUCACCAUGGAUGUUGCCGACAAGCUCGUAGAUAAAAUCUUCUCCUGGGUGAAACUACAGAGAGAAUGUGCAGAUAAGCUGAAGAAACUAGCCACUGAGCUGGAGGAAAACCAGCAGAAUGUUAAUGUCUCUAAGGUUGUUGGGAGCUCGGUGUCUGUAGGUGGUGCAGUUGCACUGACAGUGGCAGGUGUAGCAACCAUCUUUACAGGAGGGUUAGCAAUACCAGUUCUAGCUGCAGCAGGAGCAGUAGCAUCAGGGGCUGGUUUGGCGACCAGUGUGGGAUCUGAUAUCGUUGGAGCAACCAAGUCAAGUAACACCAUGACAGAGGCAAGGUGGUGCCACUCCUGUCAGGGUUUGUUGGAGAGUUGACCACAGGUGUAAUCACCAAAGCAGGAAUUAAAAAAGCAGGAAAAGAAAUUUUCAAAAAUAGCGUCACCAAGGCGGCCACAUCUGUAGGAAUGAAAACAUCUGCAAAAUGAAUUGGACGUGUUGGUGGAGGAGCGAUUGGACUUCUGAUUUCAGUUCCUGAGUUGAUUUACAACAUUCAGACUCUGGAGCAAUCUGAGACGGAAGUCAGUAAGAAUCUCAAAGAGAAGGCUGAAGCCAUGAAAACAGCUUCUGAGGAGAUGAAAACAGAACUGGACAAAAUCGAAAAGCUGCUUCAGGAGAUGGACAAAAGAUAACGUGAAGAGGAAGAAAAGCUAAUCAGAGAGAAAGAUGAAAGAGAGAAAGAAGAAAGAGAAAAAGAAGAAAGAGAGAAGCUUAUUGGAGAGAAAGAAGAAAGAGAGAAAAGGAGAAGAGAGAGAGAAGAAAGACAGAAGAAGAAAAAAAAGAAAAAAGAAAGAGAGAAGAAGAGAAAAGCGGAAGAAGAAAGAGAGAAGCUUGUCAGACAGAAAGAAGAAAGCGAAAACAAGAAAAGAGAGAAAGAAGAAAGAGAAAAAGAAGAAAACUUGGUGUCAGAAAUGACAGAGUAUUAGAUCAUUACACUGUAUAUUUCAACGCAAGACCAGAAUCAAUAGAAACAG